AUCUCGAUAGCUCAAUUGGCAGAGCGCUGGUCUCCAAAACCAGAGGUUGAAGGUUCGAAGCCUUCUCGGGAUGCCA
rnacentral:tRNA from 1 species